GGCUUCAGUCAGGAGAUACCAUGUCCGCCGUCACAGGCACACUGUACUCACCUCUCCUCUCAGUUACAACUCAUUCUCCAUGAAACAACAGUAACACGGGGCCUCCAGGAUGGCCAACUCGGGUGCUGUUCAGGUGAAACUAGAACUCGGUCACCGUGCCCAGGUCAGGAAGAAACCCACCGUGGAAGGCUUCACCCACGACUGGAUGGUGUUUGUCCGCGGCCCGGAGCAGAGCAACAUCCAGCACUUUGUGGAGAAAGUGGUUUUUCACCUGCACGAAAGCUUCCCCAAACCAAAAAGAGUUAUCAAGGAUCCCCCGUUCAAAGUGGAGGAGUCUGGAUACGCAGGCUUCAUCUUACCUAUUGAAGUUUACUUCAGAAAUAAGGAAGAACCGAAGAAAGUUCGCUUUGAUUACGACCUUUUCCUCCAUCUGGACGGCCACCCACCUGUCAAUCAUCUCCGCUGUGAGAAGCUCACCUUCAAUAGCCCAACAGAGGAGUUUCGCAUGAAGCUGCUGAAAGCUGGAGGGCAGCGGGAUCCUAACAAACGAAGUUCAGAAGACUCAAAUGUGAUGGUGAUGCAGGAGGGCUCCACCUCUCUGUUCGGACAGCACAUGAAGCUGCCUUCACUCCCCAGCUCGCUGACAUCCACCUUCUUGGACCAAAAGAAGAGCAAAAGCUUUCACGGGUCAAAGGAUGGCUCCAAAGGAAGCAGCACCACCCUUCUCACCACCGCAACAACCACCAGCACCAACAACAUCAGCUUCUCCAAACUCCACAAACCCUCCAAGGACCACAAAGACAAGCCUCCAAAAGACUUGAAAGAGCCCAAAAGUGCCUUCAGAGACUCUGGCUGGGAAUCCAGCAAAGUCCCCAAAGAACCUUCCAGGAAACCCAAAGAGAACCAGCCACUUAGAGAUAUAAAUCCUAAGAUGGGCUUCAAGGAACCCAAGUCUUUGUCCAAGGAGCAUCGGCCUGAGGGGAUGACCCCUGGGUCGGGGCUAAACAAGCGUCUGUCCAGCUCCGACGCCGACGAUCUCGUGACCAAAAAGCGUAAAAAGGGAUUUGCGGAUCCUUCAGGGAAGCAGACGUUGGGGUCAGAUGCUCCACAUUUGGAUAAGAAAGUCUUGAAGGAUAGUUCGCAGAUGAGAACAAGUAAACUGCGACCAGAAGUUGAGGAGGCAGAGCGCAGGAAGGUGUCCACACUCCCCCCGUUCCAGGACCUGGGGGACCACAAUGACUCUGAUAUGGAGGACCAGUCCCACAAAUCAGAUUCUGAGCAGCCCAGUCCAGCCAGUUCCAGCUCCAGUUCAGGCUUUGCUCCCACUCACCACAAACGCCAAGUGGUGGACUUCAUCAUCAGGAAAAGGGUGGCUAUUCCUGCCGCCACCCACACAGUGCUGGGCCCACUGCAGUCCGUCAUGCAGGAUCUGCAUUCCGAGGACAACGACGAUGAUUCAGAGGAGGACGACGACAACGACAUGGACUCUGACAUGGAGCGACCGGCAAACACACACCACACACACCACCAACGCAGGGUCAGUCUGAGUGAUGGCAGUGAGAGUGACAGCUCCUCCCCCUCACCUCCAUCCCGUCAUGAAGCCCCGCCCUUACUAAAGACUACUAAUAACCAGAUACUGGAGGUGAAGAGUCCCACCAAGCAGAGCAAGCAGGACAAGAACAAAAACAUAGAUUGUGACAAGGCUGCAGUUGGACAAGUCUGGUGUGAAUGUGUGAGACGUGGUUGAGCGCUUACCUGGAUGAGCUGGUGGCGCUGCACAAAAGACUGAUGACACUGAGAGAGGGCCAUAUACUGCAACAGAUUGUGAACCUGAUUGAAGAGACGGGACACUUCCACAUCACAAACACUACUUUUGACUUCGACCUUUGCUCCCUGGACAGAAUUACAGUGAGGAAGCUCCAGAGUUACCUGGAGACCUCCGGCCUGUCCUGAGGCUCUGAGCAGCUGGCUGCUGGAUCUCUGUCUCGGAGGAGGAUUUCCAUUUUUCCCAUUUCUCUUGAAAAAACUCCAACUUUGGAUACAAUGCAAAAGCCCCACUGUGGCUGGGACCAGUCGCUGUGUCCAGUCGCUGUGUCCAGCCUGCUGUUGCACCGGCUCUCUGAAUGGAGGGUUGGGGGUCCCGCUGCAGAAAGCAGAGCCUGGUGUUGUGGGGAUGAGCCCUGUGGAUCAGGAGAUCACCCAGAAAGCCUUGAAACUUCUCUUGAUUUAAAAAAACGAAAAAGUGGGAAGCUGCGACCCUGUUGCUCUUAAUGAAUGUGCAAAUUGUUACAAUGUAUGUUCCUUGAUUUGUUGUUCAUUGGGACAAAUGCAUGGUCAACAUUGCCUUACAACAUUGUAAGUCUUAUUUAUUGGGGUGUGUGUGUGUGUGUGUGUGUGUGUGUGUGUGUGUGUGUGUGUGUGUGUGUGUGUGUGUGUGUGUGUGUGUGUGUGUGUGUGUGUGUGUGUGUGUGUGUGUGUGUUUUUUGAAGCACUUCACAACAGGCAUUACUGAGGACACUUGAUUGGUCGCUGACCUGAAUUGAAAUUGCAUGUCAUAUUGCAUCAUUACAAUGGGAAGAAAAAACUGCCAGAGCAGGUGUGAAGGUGAUGCUGAAAAUAACAUUUAUAUUUAAAUCCAUUACUACAUGUUUCAAUGUGUGCUUCAUAAACACAGGGGAGAAGGUCCUUUAGAAAAACCCUUAGUUGUCUCACUGGCCUCUAAGGGCUUGCAAAGAUGCCUUGACAAAUAAAAAGAAAUACACAUACAUUUAAAGGAAAAACAUUGUGUAAAGAUAUAAAUAGAAUCUCAAGACAUUGCCUAUAUCAGAAAAUGUGCCUGGCCCAGGAAUAUUGUCUCAUUGUCCACCUUUCUGAAGCAUACUGAAGUUUUCAGGGCACAGGAAGUACUUGUUGCUUUUACUUAUAGGCUUUCUGUGUAUAAUCUUCAUCUUAAAACAAACCGUUUUAAAGGGAAAUAAUCUACACAUCUUGGCUUUAAAAACCCAGCAAGACGUAUGGAUUUUUUUUUACGCAACUUCAAUCAAUCAAUAUAAUCGCCUCGGCAUGCUCUAAAUGACUUCUAGACAAUGUCCCGCUGUUUCAGAAAGCCACCAAAUAAUUUCAUACAUCACUUGGCAGUUUUUUAUUCCCAUAUUUUCUCCAGAUGUGAGCUGAGCACAAAUCUCUAAGGUGGAAGUUCUCAUGAUGGAAUCAAAAAUAUAUUUUUACCAAAUCCAGGAAUAAUAUGCUGCCGACCGGCUUGUUGCCUGCAAACGAAAGAAAGCUUUGUUGUGUUGGCUCAUAUUUUGCUACAGGGCUAAUGGAACAUGCCAAAAGCAUAGUGAGUAGAAGCAGUUGUUUAGGAUACUCGUGUUUGGCUACAGAGUGACUGAAAGAAUAUCAUUAUCUCUUUGCCGGGAAAAUAGACCAAACCCUGUCCGAGGAGAGGAACAACAAACUGCCUGUAUGGUGGAAAUGGAAAACAGCUCCUGUGUUCUGCAUUUCUGAAAUGUGUGAAAUAUUUUGGGUAGAUUUAACAAACGAGAAGGCCAAUGGGAGAUUUGGCUGACAGGUACUGUUACGGGUAUAAUAAAAAAAAAAGAAUCUUUUAUUUAUUUUGUGGAUGUUUUGAGUUGUUAAAUCAAAGCUCAACAUUAUUUUCCAAGGAGAAUGCCUUUGUUUGAUUUGUACCAAGGACCCGAGUGCCAGUGUGAUAAACUAAAGUUCAGGAUGGUGCCGACUUUUCCAAAUGACCUUAAAGGGUUUUCUCACCCUGUGUUCUGUCUGAUGGUUUCUUGUGUAUUUUGAGGAUAUACAAUAAAUAUUCUGUAUGAUGUACAGAUGAUUUAAUAAGUAA